UACAGAGGUCCCAAGCGUUGUUCGGAUUCACUGGGCGUAAAGGGUGCGUAGGUGGUCGGGUAAGUCCGAUGUGAAAUCUCCAGGCUCAACCUGGAAAUGGCAUUGGAUACUAUUCGGCUUGAGGAGUGGAGGGGGGACUGGAAUUCUCGGUGUAGCAGUGAAAUGCGUAGAUGUCGAGAGGAACACCAGUGGCGAAGGCGAUCAUCUGGGACUAACCUGACGCUGAGGAGCGAAAGCCAGGGGAGCAAACGGG
rnacentral:rRNA from 1 species